GUUGUUGUCUUGAUUGAUAAAACCACCCUUUUCCUUGGACAACUCGGUGAUUCAUUUGAUGCGGCUGGUCAUGUGGAAGCUUAUGUUUUCAACGUUUUUUGUCGGAUCCUGUUUCGAGAAAAUCAUCCAAGGAGGUCAAAAAGACACUACUUCUUCACUACACUAGGUGAUUAUUUUCUUGGGAGUUGGUCCUCUGAAGAAGGAAGGAGGGAAAUGAGGAGAAAAGCACUUAGAAGCUUCAAUGGAGCUGGGAAAGCAUUGCCUCUACACGAAAGUGAACGUAUGUUCUUUCCGUCAGUUCAUGGUGAGCAUUGGUUUUUGUUCGUUGUCGACAUUAUAGCAAGAAAAUUUGUCUUCCUAGAUUCAUAUGUUGAAGGGAACACACCAUUCCAUAUCGGGAUCAGAGAUUUGAUGGUUAA